UAUUAUAUUACAGAGUGCAACAGAGACGAAAGUAGAUUGACCAUGAAUGUACAUGUGAAAUACAUAGUCUUUUUUUCACUGCUUCUUGCAGCCUCCUGUUGUGAAUAUGAUGGCCAAUGUUCUGGGAAAAUAAACUGCCCAAGUGGCCAGGUUAGAGCUUGCUCAUAUAGACAGUGUACCUGCAGAGUUGGGAACGGUUGCAUGAUUGAUGGUAGCUGCAUUAAAGUCUGCAAGAGUUACCAAACACCUGACUGCAGAUUGUUUCGGUGUUAUUGUCAUCAGAAAUAAGCGCAAGAAACAUUAAAAUAUU